CAGAUCAUCCCGUACUACACUUACAUUCAUUAAGGAAUAAACAAACAAAUAAAGAAGCAUUGCAAACACGGAUAAAUUCCAUUUGCGAGAACCCUAUAUCGGAUAAGCUACGCUCUCACCCAUAAUAACCCGAACGCCCCUUCCGCUACAGGCCAUCCUGUUCCAGCUGCCUCCGUAUUUACUUAAGGGUGUGUUCGAGAUUUAGUCCGUUUGAGUGAUGAUGUAAUGGUGCUCAAACAAAAAUCCCACAGCAAACCCUAUAGCUGAGCGAGUGAGGGGGGGGGAGGGGGAAAAAAUUAAAUACAGAAAACUGUAUUUUUUUUCUAAUGAAAGGACGGUAGACUCUAGCUCGGGAUUCGACCUGACGAGUCCGUUAGCCACGAGUGGACGCGUUUUCAUUGGGCGCAUAAGACAACUGCUGAGAGCGUGUUGGGAAUAAACGCACGGCGUAUGAAAAGAAUUCGGCGGACACCUCGUGCCUACUCGAAUCAGCCCCUACUGCAGAGCAGGCUCGGUCAUAACACGCUCUUCCUUAAGUUCCUAUGAUGAUGAGUCUUUAUUGGUCACGUAUAUAUAUGCACAGUGAGAUUCUUUUCUUCGCAUACCCCUGCAUGUUAGGAAGUUGGGGUCAGAGUGCAGGGUCAGCCAUGAUACAGCACCCCCUGGAGGAGAGAGGGUUAAGCGCCUUGCUCACGGGCCUCAACAGUGGCAGCUUGUUAGUGCUAGGGCUUCCGAUCACUAACCCGGCGCCUUAACCGUCAAGCCCCCACUGCCCCUGAAUGAUCACGACACGUCUCCGCUUCGAGAGUAAUACAGAGUCGGCGUUUAUCAGCUUAAUCAAUAAUAAUGAGUCGUCACCACUGUAUCUUGUUGCCCGUGUGUGUUUUACAGAGCACUCGCACUGCAGCGACGUGACGCGUCGAACCGGCCUCGGGUUCGCCAGCACGGAUGAAAAUCCUGCCCCGGGGGUUUGCGGGAGUGAGGGCGGUGUGAAGCGACGUGAAGAAGAGCGGAAAAAAAGGAAGAAGGUUAGGAAUCGACCUCGUGCUCAUGCAGACGAGAAGCAAAUACCACCAGACUGUGGCCGAUGAGAGGGUAUUUAUGUGCCGGGGUUCUAAUUGGAGCGAGACACGCGCGCGCUCACUGCCAAGGAAUCAGACUGAAGUGGCAAAACAUGAUGAGAGCACCACGACACGUGAUAGAGACUUUUUAUACGAGCCCUAAGCCACCCAAUCCCUACCUCCCAGUACCACUUCAAUCAGAUCAGCUAAAUGCGCUUGUUUUAUUAGCAACCCGUUCCAACGCGGCCAAAAUGCCGAUGAAGGAGAUGUUCCACUUCGCGUGAACGUGGCAUUCGUCAGCUCAGGCUAACAGCCUCGAAGGCGUAUAGUAGUACUAACUUAAUCUCUCGCUCUCUUUUUCUUUUUGUUUUAUCUACUUGAGCACAUCCGAUAGAAGCGGUCUUAUAGAAACCUUAAGAGUAAUAAUAACGUAUCUCAGUACGUCGGUCAUGAUGGGCUGUGUGUGUGUGUGUCUCCUUCGCGGUCCUCAAUUCACCCAUGACAAAAUAUCGCCUCCUGUGAAUAUCGAGCUACAAAUGGUUCCGCUCGUAUAUAGAGGGUAUGCACUGACGCUAAGAAAACGACGAUCGGCUUAAAUUAAAGGCAGCCGAACUCGACAGUGACCCUUACAACUUGCCCAAGAACCCGUGCUCCACGGACGUUGGCACGUGGCCAGAAAUCGGGUUUCCCGAUGUACCUGAAGCUCGAAUGCGCAUAAAAGCCUUUUGGCGCUUGGUCCUACUUCGAGGUGGGAUUUCUCGGAGAAACGCACCGCCGACGAACAUCCUGGUUGGAUGUACAAAUAUCUGUAUUUUAUUCCAUGGUUUUUCUUUGAUCGUAGAAUUUUCAUUGAAAGUUUACAUUUUACAUGACACCCCAACAAACAACCACGGCCAAAACCAAAAGAAAGGGGGAAACAAACAAACAAACAAAAAACAAUAAACAAACAACCAGAGAAAAAAACAAACAAAAACAUAAAACCCCAAAACAACAACAACAACAAAAAGGGGUAAGAUGAUCAGGAAUUACAGUCCGCUUUUCCUCGAUCCACCACCAGGGUGCGCACAUCAUUGAAGUAGGUAAUAAAUUGCGCCCAUUUUCCCCAGAAUGAGUCACCCCUGCCUCUGAUGCUGUACUUGAUUUUCUCAGGUUUUAAAAAGAAGAUUAAAUCUUUAAUCCAGACUGAUAUAGAGGGGGGUUGUGGAGAGCUCCAAGACGACAGUAUUCUGCGCCGAGCAAGUGACGACGCAAAGGCCGCAACACUGGCUUCUUUAUGGUUCAGAGAUUCACACACUCCCCUCCGACAACACUCACUGGUCCUUUAUGUAAGAAAACAUGGCUUUAGUGCCAAGCGAUGACUUCGGCGUGCGUCACUUCACCGGCGUGACUCGAGUGUCCGGCCGAGCGGGCCAUCGGUAAAGAUUCUGCGUGAGUAGCAGGAAGACUAAGCGUUACUCAUGGCUGGAGCAGAAGCGGAGAGUGAGCGCAUGGAAGACGGGGAUAAUACGAGGAAGCCUGACUCAGACUGAUAAAAACGUGCGAGAGGGGGGAAAAAAAGGAAGAAGGAAGAACCUGAAAGGGAGACGAAAAGAAAAAGGAAGAAAAACCGGAAAGGACGUUCGCUUUCGGAUAAAAACCUUAAAGCGUCGCCCGGAGAGACGCGUGGAUAUGAUACGAUUCAUCAAAUCCGUCAAACAGAAAGAGACCGCGCCAGGGCGAUUCAUAUUCCAGCCAAGCAUGUUUGUGUUUCCUACUGAUUUAUAACGCCUCGGUUUAUGCUGACCAUGUGCGGCUGCUUGAUCAGAUACACUUGGUUUAAAAGAAAGUUGGGGAAUGGGAGAACCAGAGCACAUGGAAGAGAAAGGGAGAACACAUUCACGGUCAUAUUUUUCUAAUAUGAAAUAGCCAUCACUAAAAUACGUGAUGCGACCCAGGCCAAGAACACAGUUGUAAAAAAAUGACAAUUUCAGCGCUUUAACGCCGACGACCGAGUUCAGAUCGGGUCGUGCGGGGACCGCCGCGCGUCUGCUUUCUGAACUGUAGAAACCGAAAUCCGUG
ensembl:lncRNA